rnacentral:rRNA from 1 species
CGUACCAGAAGUUUGUAAACGGCCUUGGACGGCGAUUGCUUUACUACGAUAGCAAGUCGGACGGCGAGCACAGAGAAGCUUGCUUCUUGGGUGGCGAGUGGCGAACGGGUGAGUAACAUAUCGGAACGUACCGAGGUAAUGGGGGAGUAACUAAUCGAAAGAUUAGCUAAUACCGCAUAUUCUCUGAGGAGGAAAGCAGGGGACCUUCGGGCCUUUGCGUUAUUCGAGCGGCCGAUAUCUGAUUAGCUAGUUGGUGGGGUAAAGGCCUACCAAGGCGACGAUCAGUAGCGGGUCUGAGAGGAUGAUCCGCCACACUGGGACUGAGACACGGCCCAGACUCCUACGGGAGGCAGCAGUGGGGAAUUUUUGGACAAUGGGCGCAAGCCUGAUCCAGCCAUGCCGCGUGUCUGAAGAAGGCCUUCGGGUUGUAAAGGACUUUUGUCAGGGAAGAAAAGGCUGUCGCUAAUACCGACAGUUGAUGACGGUACCUGAAGAAUAAGCACCGGCUAACUACGUG